UGUGUGUGUGUGUGUAUAUAAAUAUAUAUAUACACACACACGCACAUGUAUGUAUAUAUAGUUAUAUACACACACAUAUAUA